rnacentral:rRNA from 1 species
GAUCCGUAGAUUUCCGAAUGGGGCAACCCAAUGUAUAGAGAUAUACAUUACCUAUAUAGGAGCGAACGAGGGGAAUUGAAACAUCUUAGUACCCUCAGGAAAAGAAAUCAAUAGAGAUUGCGUCAGUAGCGGCGAGCGAAAGCGCAAGAGGGCAAACCCAGUGCUUGCACUGGGGGUUGUAGGACUGCAAUGUGCAAGAGCUGAGUUUAGCAGAACAUUCUGGAAAGUAUAGCCAUAGAGGGUGAUAGUCCCGUAUGCGAAAAACAAAGCUUAGCUAGCAGUAUCCUGAGUAGGGCGGGACACGAGGAAUCCUGUCUGAAUCCGGGUCGACCACGAUCCAACCCUAAAUACUAAUACCAGAUCGAUAGUGCACAAGUACCGUGAGGGAAAGGUGAAAAGAACUGAGGUGAUCAGAGUGAAAUAGAACCUGAAACCAUUUGCUUACAAUCAUUCAGAGCACUAUGUAGCAAUACAGUGUGAUGGACUGCCUUUUGCAUAAUGAGCCUGCGAGUUGUGGUGUCUGGCAAGGUUAAGCAAACGCGAAGCCGUAGCGAAAGCGAGUCUGAAUAGGGCGCUUAGUCAGAUGCUGCAGACCCGAAACGAAGUGAUCUAUCCAUGAGCAAGUUGAAGCUAGUGUAAGAACUAGUGGAGGACUGAACCCAUAGGCGUUGAAAAGCCCCGGGAUGACUUGUGGAUAGGGGUGAAAGGCCAAUCAAACUUCGUGAUAGCUGGUUCUCUCCGAAAUAUAUUUAGGUAUAGCGUUGUGUCGUAAUAUAAGGGGGUAGAGCACUGAAUGGGCUAGGGCAUACACCAAUGUACCAAACCCUAUCAAACUCCGAAUACCUUAUAUGUAAUCACAGCAGUCAGGCGGCGAGUGAUAAAAUCCGUCGUCAAGAGGGAAACAACCCAGACUACCAGCUAAGGUCCCUAAAUCUUACUUAAGUGGAAAACGAUGUGAAGUUACUUAAACAACCAGGAGGUUGGCUUAGAAGCAGCCAUCCUUUAAAGAAAGCGUAAUAGCUCACUGGUCUAGUGAUUUUGCGCGGAAAAUAUAACGGGGCUAAAGUAAGUACCGAAGCUGUAGACUUGCACACAACUUAGAUUAUUUAAGUUUAGAAUAUGAGAAACUAAGUUAUAUGUUUAGUUAUAUUUUUACUGAUUUUUAUAGAGUAAAGAUAGAAAUAAAACUUAGUAAAAUCAGUAAAAAUAUUCUUAGGCUAAAGUUAAGUAGUUUAAGUUGUGUGCAAGUGGUAGGAGAGCGUUCUAUUUGCGUCGAAGGUAUACCGGUAAGGAGUGCUGGAGCGAAUAGAAGUGAGCAUGCAGGCAUGAGUAGCGAUAAUUAAUGUGAGAAUCAUUAACGCCGUAAACCCAAGGUUUCCUACGCGAUGCUCGUCAUCGUAGGGUUAGUCGGGUCCUAAGUCGAGUCCGAAAGGGGUAGACGAUGGCAAAUUGGUUAAUAUUCCAAUACCAACAUUAGUGUGCGAUGGAAGGACGCUUAGGGCUAAGGGGGCUAGCGG